rnacentral:lncRNA from 1 species
AGCUCAAAAGUACCAAGCAGAUUGUUGUCCUUAGUUCUAGCCCUUUCGCCUUCAUACACUUGAAUUAGUACACUGGUCUGAUUAUCAGCAUAAGUUGAGAAGACUUGCUCCUUCUUGGCAGGAACGGUCGUGUUUCUUGGAAUCAAGGUCGUCAUCACACCACCAGCAGUCUCAAUACCAAGGCUGAGAGGUGUAACAUCAAGGAGGAGCAAAUCUUGAACCUUCUGGUCACCUUCACCACUCAAAAUAGCAGCCUGAACAGCAGCUCCAUAAGCAACAGCCUCAUCAGGGUUUAUGCUCUUGCAGAGUUCCUUGCCGUUGAAGAAAUCUUGCAACAACUGUUGAACUUUCG